rnacentral:lncRNA from 1 species
CGGGAUUGUGUACACAGAGGUGAUCGUGAGCUGUCCUUUGGGUCGGCCGGUCACGGUACUUGAGAAGGAGGCCUACUUCUCAGUACCUUUAUGAUGAUGAUUUGUAGAUGUGGUACAUACAUAACGAGAAUUUUGACCGGUCAUUUAUUUAUGAUGUUUAUGAUUGUUAACUGCUUACACGGGUUCUUUUGAGUAAAAUCCCCGUGUAUUGCUUAUGUGGCAAGUUCAAUCUAUAGCUCUAAGAGCUAGUUUUCAUUGAUUUUCGGCUUAUGUCCACUGAGUAUUCUGUACUCAGCCCUGCAUGUAUUUCUAAACGUGCAGGAUAAGCGAGGAGGGAGAUUGGACUGGUGCUGGCAGGGAUUUUGUUUCAGAUAAUCUUCAUUAUACCGUAAUUAUAUUCCUUGCGGUAACAUCAAGAUGUUGAAGUUUAUUUUGAACUUAAUCAAGAAAUUUACUCUCGGCUAUAUGUCUUCAUACAUAUAGUCUUUUCGUAUUUUGCUGCGAUACUCUGUAUAUCCCGAGUCAUUGUGAGUAAUUAGCUAUGUCUACUUUGUAAAGGUUGACAAGAAUCUCAAUAAUUUAAAAGUUAUAAAGCCAAUAAUAUUUUUAUUGAUGAUGAUGUCAUCUUUCUUGAUUUAUCACGUUUCAGUGAUUGCUUCCGCUUGACGUGCAAUCUAGUUUUGUCUUUUGACCUUAUUAAUAUAUUUAGUCGUAUCGAUACCCGGUUUACGCUAUCACUGGCUAGGCGUCGGGCUGCGACAUAUUCUUAUUUUACUUUUAAUAUGUGUUUCUUGAUUGUGCAAAGAAUUUGAGUUUUAUUGCAACACGAUUGUAAGUAUGUAAAACGUGAUUUGUCCGGUAGAUGCUAGAAGGAGUGUUGUCAUUGUGAUUGCCUACGAUCGUAUCCUUAUCUGUGAAUAAUGCUGGACGAAUUGCCAUUUCUAAAAAUGUCAGCUCUGAAACAUAUGGCCAGCUCUGAAACGUGACAGCUCUGAGUCUCUGCUCCUCUGGUCUAACUAUGAGCAUGGGAAACCACGUGAAAAGACUUUGGAUUACAUCCAAAUGGUUUUUAUUUCAUGAAUUAUGGCUCAACUGUCCAAAAACUUAAGCACACAAAGUGUAAAAAAAAUGGUGAUAUUGAUUAUAAAGGCGAUCACAUUAGGGAAUUCACUUCUAGCGGAGAAUUGGGUAUGAUCGAAUUACUUGCAUUACUGUUUUGUUGCUUCGUAAACUUUAAGUUACUUGCAUGAUCAAGAGAUGUGUGUUGAUUGUAAAAUUUUGAAUUGACUUUGUGAAUGUUUGGAUGGAAAUAAGCAUCGUUGAAAUCAAUCUCUUCCUAAGAUUCAUAUUGAUUUUGCUUGAGGACAAGCUGAUUUAUGCUUAAUUGUUCUAAAUUUUGGGGUUUGCAUGUACUUUUUAAGUUAAAUCUUCUGAAAUGGUGCGUUUUAUGGUUAUUUUAUGCUUUUCGGAGAUUUAGUUUCGAGAUGAAAGUGCAAAUUUUGGAGAUUUGGGCUAAGAAUUACGUUUUUGUGCAUGCUCUGGCACGUCAGAGAAGUGAAGCCCCGCAUGCCAGAGCAGCGAAAAGGGAAGCCAGAGAAAUGCUCCAGAUCCAGAGAAGUCAUUCGCCAGAGCAGCGAAAUCACUAGUCAGAGAAGUCAUAAGCCAGGCCAGAGAAAUCAAUAUCCAGUGCAGCGAAAUCGAAAACGCCAGAGGAAUAUAAGCGCCAGCGGAAUCGCCAUCAGAGAAACCGGAGCCAGAGCGGAACCGUUCCUGGCGAGAGCCCGAUUUCCGCCAGGGUGGAGAUUAUUUCAGAGCGCGCGACACAGCUGGAAGUUGCCUUUCUUCACGAUUCUAUUGCCUUUAGAGUUCUACUUUGCAUGGCAACUUCCAUGGUGAUCCAUAGGGAUUCGAAGUCUAUAAAUAGGGCCAUACUUUUCAUUGUAAGAUCAUCGCUUGCCCUAGUUUUAGACGCCAUCUUUGCGAUCUGUUGGCAUCCGAAGCUUAGGAUUUACUUGCUUUCAUAGUUCUUUAUAGUUUUCAGAUUCAUUGUUUUAAGUUAGAUUUCAAUUCAGUUUUUAGUUUAUUCUUGGAUUGUGAUUGAGUGACACAAUUACAUGUUCAAGACGUUUACGGUAUUUCGUAUUUCAAUUCAAUUUAUUUCGUUUAAUCAUGUUUACGUUUUUCAUUCAAGUUCAUGCUUUCUUUUUAAUUAUGCAAUUUAAAUUAUGCACUUUAGUUUCACGCCUAGAUUAGAAGUCUUUAAAUUUACAAGUAUUUAAUUUCUUAAGUUAGGUUUAAUUUGAGUUGUUUAAAUUCUUGCCUAGGUUAAGUUUAAAUUCAAGUCAAGUUUAAUUUAAGUUUAAGUUUCAGUUUUUAAAUCAAAAUCUUUACUGCUUCCUUUUAUUGCUUUUUCCUACGAUACUACUAAGAGCCCUUAAAGACUUUCCUUGAGAGAUGACAUUGGGUCAACUUACCAUCACUAGGAUGUCCUUGUUCUAUUGCAAGUCAACUUAGAGGUGUUUCUAGUUGAGUCACAAGCAAAAGGCUAAGUGUGGGGGGUUGAUCAUGUGCAUAUUUAAGUUGAAUCUUCUGGAAAUUUGUGCGUUUUAUGGUUUGUUUUAUGCUUUGCAGGAGAUUUAGGUUUUAUAGAUGGAAGAGUGUAAUUUUGGAGAUUUUGGGUUUAGAAUGGCGUUUUUAAGAACACUCUGGUGUACAGAGCUGAAAAGCCCACGCCAGAGCUGAAAAGCCGCGCCAGAGCUGAAAAGCCCGCUGCAGAGCAGAGCAGAGAAGCUCGCCAGAGCAGAGCNUAGUUUUUAUUGAUUUUCGGCAUAUGUCCACUGAGUAUUCUGUACUCAGCCCUGCAUGUAUUUCUAAACGUGCAGGAUAAGCGAGGAGGGAGAUUGGACUGGUGCUGGCAGAGAUUUUGUUUCGGAUGAUCGUCAUUAUACCGUAAUUAUAUUCCUUGCGGUAACAUCAAGAUGUUGAGGUUUAUUUUGAACUUAAUCAAGAAAUUUACUCCCGGCUAUAUGUCUUCAUACAUAUAGUCUGUUCGCAUUUUGCUGCGAUACUCUGUAUAUCCCGAGUCAUUGUGAGUAAUUAGCUAUGUCUACUUUGUAAAGGUUGACAAGAAUCUCGAUGAUUUAAAAGUUAUAAAGCCAAUAAUAUUUUUAUUGAUGAUGAUGUCAUCUUUCUUGGUUUAUCACGUUUCAGUGAUUGCUUCCGCUUGACGUUCGAUCUAGUUUUCUCUUUUUACCUUAUUAAUUUAUUUAGUC